UACGAAGGGGGCUAGCGUUGCUCGGAAUCACUGGGCGUAAAGGGUGCGUAGGCGGGUCUUUAAGUCAGGGGUGAAAUCCUGGAGCUCAACUCCAGAACUGCCUUUGAUACUGAAGAGCUCGAGUCCGGAAGAGGUGAGUGGAACUCCGAGUGUAGAGGUGAAAUUCGUAGAUAUUCGGAAGAACACCAGUGGCGAAGGCGGCUCACUGGUCCGGUACUGACGCUGAGGUGCGAAAGCGUGGGGAGCAAACAGG
rnacentral:rRNA from 1 species